AAAGCCGGUCCCAGUUCGGAUUGUGGGCUGCAACUCGCCCACAUGAAGCUGGAGUUGCUAGUAAUCGCGAAUCAGAAUGUCGCGGUGAAUGCGUUCCCGGGCCUUGUACACACCGCCCGUCACACCAUGGGAGUUGGCAAUACCCGAAGUCGUCGAGCUAACCUUUUGGAGGCAGACGCCGAAGGUAGGGCCAAUGACUGGGGUGAAGUCGUAACAAGGUAGCCGUAUCGGAAGGUGCGGCUGGAUCACCUCCUUU
rfam:Caldisalinibacter kiritimatiensis strain L21-TH-D2 NODE_198, whole genome shotgun sequence.